GACGAACGCUGGCGGCGUGCUUAACACAUGCAAGUCGAACGGAAAGGCCCUGCUUUUGUUGGGUGCUCGAGUGGCGAACGGGUGAGUAACACGUGAGUAACCUGCCCUUGACUUUGGGAUAACUUCAGGAAACUGGGGCUAAUACCGGAUAGGAGCUCCUGCUGCAUGGUGGGGGUUGGAAAGUUUCGGCGGUUGGGGAUGGACUCGCGGCUUAUCAGCUUGUUGGUGGGGUAGUGGCUUACCAAGGCUUUGACGGGUAGCCGGCCUGAGAGGGUGACCGGCCACAUUGGGACUGAGAUACGGCCCAGAAGCCUACGGGAGGCAGCAGUGGGGAAUAUUGCACAAUGGGCGGAAGCCUGAUGCAGCAACGCCGCGUGCGGGAUGACGGCCUUCGGGUUGUAAACCGCUUUCGCCUGUGACGAAGCGUGAGUGACGGUAAUGGGUAAAGAAGCACCGGCUAACUACGUG
rnacentral:rRNA from 1 species